UGCCAGCAGCCGCGGUAAUACGGAGGGGGCUAGCGUUGUUCGGAUUUACUGGGCGUAAAGCGCACGUAGGCGGCGUAUCUAGUUGGGGGUGAAAGGCCCGGGCUCAACCUGGGAACUGCCUUUAAUACUGGUAAGCUAGAGUCCGGGAGAGGGUAGCGGAAUUCCAAGUGUAGAGGUGAAAUUCGUAGAUAUUUGGAAGAACACCGGUGGCGAAGGCGGCUACCUGGACCGGCACUGACGCUGAGGUGCGAAAGCGUGGGGAGCGAACAGGAUUAGAUA
rnacentral:rRNA from 1 species